UUUCUGAUUUCUGAUAAUAUUUUUCACUUUGUUAAUGAUGUUAAAAUUGAUAAUAGUUACAGGUCUGAUCAUUCACCUGUGGUCUUUUCUUUCAAGAUUAAUGAAUUUAUAAAAGGCAGAGGCCUUUGGAAGUUUAAUAAUUCCCUUCUUCAUGAUACUGACUAUGUUAAAGAGAUAAAAAAAACCUCAUAAAUAUAGUAAAAGAACAAUAUGCCGUCAAGAUAUAUAGAGAUGAAAAUUUACAAAAUAUUGACAACUCUGAAAUUGAAUUUACUGUUGAUGACCAGUUAUUUUUAGAAACUCUACUCACAGAAAUACGUGGCAAAACUAUUUCAUAUGCCUCUUAUAAAAAAAAAGGCGGGUAUAAAAAUUGAAAAUGAAAUUAUUUCAAAAUUAAAACAAUUAGAAGAAAAUGCUCUAACAGUAGAAAAUCUGGAAGAGAUUGAUCAGAAAAAAGCAGAACUUAAAAUGUAUAGACAAAAGAAGGUUCAGGGACAAUAUGUUAGGUCAAGAAGUCAGUGGAUUGAAGAAGGAGAAAAACCUACUAAUUUUUUUUUAAAUCUAGAGACUAGAAAUUAUAUUAAUAAGACUAUUCAAAAACUUACUUUAGAAAAUGGUGUUAUAGUGGAGGAACAAAAAGAAAUCUUAAAUCAGACAAAGGUGUUUUAUGAAAAACUUUAUAGAAAACAAGAUUGUUUAAAAAAGGUUGAUUUAACACGGGAAUGUUGUUAUGACGAGAUACCAAAGCUUAGCGAGGAUGAAAAGCAAUUAUUGGAGGGAAAUAUUAAUUUUUCUGAAUUAACUGCAGCAUUAAAGAGGAUGAAAAAUAACAAAAGUCCUGGAUCUGAUGGUUACACUGCAGAAUUUUUUAAAUUUUUUUGGAUUGAUAUUGGUAAAUUUGUCCUUAGAUCUAUAAAUUUUGGGUAUGGGAAGGGCCA
rnacentral:lncRNA from 1 species